AGAGUUUGAUCCUGGCUCAGGGUUAACGCUGGCGGCGUGCCUAACACAUGCAAGUCGAACGGUUCUAAGCGCGAGCUUAGGAUAGUGGCGAACGGGUGAGUAAAAGGUAGGAAUCUACCCCUUGGACGGAGAUAGCUACUGGAAACGGUAGGUAAACUUCGAUAAGCCCGAGAGGGGAAAGUGGUGAGACAGCCGAGGGAUGAGCCUACUCUCCAUCAGGUAGUUGGUGAGAUAAAAGCUUACCAAGCCGAUGACGGAUAACCGGUGUGAGAGCAUGAACGGUCACAAGGGCACUGAGAGACGGGCCCUACUCCUACGGGAGGCAGCAGUGGGGAAUCUUGGACAAUGGGCGAAAGCCUGAUCCAGCGACGCCGCGUGGAGGAAGAAGUCCUUCGGGAUGUAAACUUCUGAACUAGCCGAAUAAAAGGCCUGUGGACACACAGGAGAAGAAAGUAGGCUAGGAAAAGUCCCGGCUAAGNUACGUGCCAGCCGCCGCGGUAAUAC
rnacentral:rRNA from 1 species